rnacentral:rRNA from 1 species
CACCAGGUUGAUUCUGCCUGACGUAGACGCUAUUCUCUAAGAUUAACCCAUGCAUGUUUUUGACAUUUGAAAAAUGGACUGCUCAGUAAUACUCACUUUAUUUUAUGUAAAUUUUUAAUUAACUACGUUAAAGUGUAGAUAAGAUGUUUACAGUAAGAGUGAGACCUAUCAGCUAGUUGUUAAGGUAAUGGCUUAACAAGGCUGUGACGGGUAACGGUAUUACUUUGUAAUAUUCCGGAGAAGGAGCCUGAGAGACGGCUACUAAGUCUAAGGAUUGCAGCAGGGGCGAAACUUGACCUAUGGAUUUUAUCUGAGGCAGUUAUGGGAAGUAAUAUUAUAUUGUUUCAUAUUUUAAAAGUAUAUGAGGUGAUUAAUUGGAGGGCAAAUCAAGUGCCAGCAGCCGCGGUAAUACUUGUUCCAAGAGUGUGUAUGAUGAUUGAUGCAGUUAAAAAGUCCGUAGUUUAUUUUUUUAAGAAGCAAUAUGAGGUGUACUGUAUAGUUGGGAGAAAGAUGAAAUGUGACGACCCUGACUGGACGAACAGAAGCGAAAGCU